CAAUAGCGUAUAUUAAAGUUGUUGCAGUUAAAAAGCUCGUAGUUGAAUUUCGGGUCCCCGCGCUCGGCGCUUCAUUGUGCCGUCGUGGUGUCCCUCCUCGCCGUAAGGCGUCCUUUACUGUGAAAAAAUUAGAGUGUUCAAAGCAGGCAAUCGCUUGAAUACAUUAGCAUGGAAUAAUAAGAUAGGAUCUUGUCUAUUUUGUUGGUUGCGGACAACGAUAAUGAUUAAUAGGGAUAGUUGGGGGUGUCCGUAUUGAGCUGUCAGAGGUGAAAUUCUUGGAUUUGCUCAAGACGAGCUACUGCGAAAGCAUUCACCAAGGAUGUUUUCAUUA
rnacentral:rRNA from 1 species